AUUUCUGGCUGCAGUUGUUCCACUGUGCAAGUGCCAAGCAGAGCCCAAGAUUAGCCCAUCAAUUUAUUUUUUACAUAGCCCACUGAAAAUCUGUUAUGGGGUAAUAACCUCCUGUACUGUGCUGGGUUUGAGACAAGCUCCUUUACUCCUCUACCUCACUGUCAAGUAGUUUUUGCACUUCAAAAUAUGGAUUUCAAUUUUCAGCUGUUGCUCCAGACCUCGCUGUUCAUGAGGCAGUACCGUUAUUCCACAUCUCCACCUCCCGUCUCGUGAUGCAGGGCCCUGUGAAAAUGUGUUCACCAAAUUAGUUGGCCUUUUUCUCCAUAAUAGGUUGUCAGCGUCUACAAUAUUACCAGCCCCGCACAGCCGAGCAUCUUGAAUGAACUCUUUCUGCAAAAUGCUUAUGGGAAUGGCUGAAAAAGAGAUAUCUGGAGGCAGCACUGUGAGAAGAUGCCUUUACUGUUUCGGAAGAACUCUGUUUCCCGACCACAGUUUGAGAGCACAGGUAGUCCUGCCAUUGGUUCUUUCGCAGAGGACACCCCUGCACCUGGGAUCAUGACAGGUCAGCCAUGAGCCAUAAAAGGUUCCUCCAGCACCAGGCCUACUCUGGGAAGAAAUGUAAGGUUUUAAUUUCCAGUCCUGCUUAUUGUAUACUUAUAAUCUUCACAAGCCACAAGUUUUGACUAUCCUCUCCUGCUCCCCUCCUGUCCAGAAAAAGAUGAACAUUAAAGUAAAGCUGAAGAAUGUAAUCAAAAUGGG
rnacentral:lncRNA from 1 species